rnacentral:tRNA from 1 species
GGGGGUGUAGCUCAGUCGGUUAGAGCAGGGGACUCAUAAUCCCUUUGUCGCGGGUUCGAGUCCUGCCACCCCUA